rnacentral:tRNA from 1 species
CCGGAAUAGCUCAGUUGGUANAGCA